AGCGAACGCUGGCGGCAGGCUUAACACAUGCAAGUCGAGCGGGCAUCCGCGGAUGUUAGCGGCAGACGGGUGAGUAACACGUGGGAACGUACCCUUCGGUUCGGAACAACUCUGGGAAACUGGAGCUAAUACCGGAUACGCCCUUAUGGGGAAAGGUUUACUGCCGAAGGAUCGGCGCGCGACUGAUUAGCUGGUUGGUGGGGUAACGGCAUACCAAGGCGACGAUCAGUAGCUGGUCUGAGAGGGUGGUCAGCGACACUGGGACUGAGACACGGCCGAGACUCCUACGGGAGGGAGCAGUGGGUAAUAUAGGACAAUGGGGGCAGGCCUGAUCCAGCCAUGCCGCGUGAGUGAUGAAGGCCUUAGGGUUGUAAAGCUCUUUUGUCCGGGACGAUAAUGACGGUACCGGAAGAAUAAGCCCCGGCUAACUUCGUG
rnacentral:rRNA from 1 species